rnacentral:rRNA from 1 species
CCUACGGGUGGCUGCAGUGGGGAAUAUUGGACAAUGGGCGCAAGCCUGAUCCAGCCAUGCCGCGUGGGUGAAGAAGGCCUUCGGGUUGUAAAGCCCUUUUGUCCGGAAAGAAAAGUUCUGGGUUAAUAACCCAGGAUCAUGACGGUACCGGAAGAAUAAGCACCGGCUAACUUCGUGCCAGCAGCCGCGGUAAUACGAAGGGUGCAAGCGUUACUCGGAAUUACUGGGCGUAAAGCGUGCGUAGGUGGUGGUUUAAGUCAGAUGUGAAAGCCCUG